CCUACGGGUGGCAGCAGUGGGGAAUAUUGCACAAUGGGGGAAACCCUGAUGCAGCGACGCCGCGUGAGUGAAGAAGUAUUUCGGUACGUAAAGCUCUAUCAGCAGGGAAGAAACUGACGGUACCUGACUAAGAAGCUCCGGCUAACUACGGGCCAGCAGCCGCGGUCAUACGGCGGGGGCAAGCGUUCUCCGGAUUUAUUGGGUUUACAGGGUGCGCAGGCGGAUUUUUAAGGCAGCGGUCAAAUCGGGGGGCUCAACCCCAUCCAGCCGUUGAAACUGGGGAUCUAGAGUGUGCGAGAGGUAGGCGGAAUGCGUGGUGUAGCGGUGAAAUGCAUAGAUAUCACGCAGAACCCCGAUUGCGAAGGCAGCAUACCGGUGCACAACUGACGCUCAGGCACGAAAGCGUGGGUAUCGAACAGGAUUAGAUACCCCAGUAGUC
rnacentral:rRNA from 1 species